ACACAAUGACCUCAGUAUUGAAGGACAGACAGAGUACUGCUCACUUAGUGCUGACACCCGAUCAAGGAUACUAGACUGAGGAAAUUCAAAUCAAGAUCUCAAGUAUCCUCUGGAGUCAAUCCAGAGUAUCCAAGCAUUCCCCACCAAGCCCAGGGGGACACCGAUGCCACGGAAUUUUUCAAGAAAAGAGGUUAUCAUCUGACCGGCCAGAGUGGCUUCUGCUCCAUCUUCAUUACUGGACAAGCCAGCAGAAACAGCAUUGAAGUGCUGCUGUGCAGCGGCCAAGGCUUCAGCAUCUUUAUGACUCGCUUCUUGAAGGCUGUGCAGCCCAUCUGUUAUCUUUUUAACUUCUUUUUCCUUUGCUGCUAAUGUUUUAGAGUCCUUUGGGGAAAAUGUUAAAAUGAAAAAAUAUUUUAAAAAAAAAUUCAAUUCAUUUGGUUAUUAAAGUUCAUAGCAUUCUGAGGGGGCACAAUAAAAAAUGUAAUUUAACUGUCA